rnacentral:rRNA from 1 species
UACGGAGGGUGCCAGCGUUAAUCGGAAUUACUGGGCGUAAAGCGCGCGUAGGCGGUUAGGCAAGUCGGAUGUGAAAGCCCUGGGCUUAACCUGGGAAUUGCAUUCGAGACUGCUUGGCUAGAGUUUGGUAGAGGAAAGCGGAAUUCCCGGUGUAGCGGUGAAAUGCGUAGAUAUCGGGAGGAACAUCAGUGGCGAAGGCGGCCACCUGGGCCGACCCGUGACGCUGAGGCGCGAAGGCGGUGGGGAGCAAACGGGG